rnacentral:rRNA from 1 species
CGUAUGGUGCAAGCGUUAUCCGGAUUUACUGGGUGUAAAGGGUGAGUAGGCGGUCAUGCAAGUCAUAUGUGAAAUGUCAGGGCUUAACCUUGGCGCUGCAUAAGAAACUGUAUGACUAGAGUGCAGGAGAGGUAAGCGGAAUUCCUAGUGUAGCGGUGAAAUGCGUAGAUAUUAGGAAGAACACCGGUGGCGAAGGCGGCUUACUGGACUGUUACUGACGCUGAGUCACGAAAGCGUGGGAGCAAACAGGAUU